UACCAGCUCUCCGAAUUGUAGGGAUGAUUAUUGGGCUUAAAGCGUCCGUAGCUGGCUUAGCAAGUCUCCUGUUAAAUUCAGCGACCUAAUCGUUGAGCCGCGGGAGAUACUACUAGGCUAGGAGGCGGGAGAGGUCGACGGUACUUUCGGGGUAGGGGUGAAAUCCUAUAAUCCCGGGAGGACCACCAGUGGCGAAGGCUGUCGACUAGAACGCGCUCGACGGUGAGGGACGAAAGCUGGGGGAGCGAACCGGAUUAGAUACCCGGGUAGGCCCAGCUGUAAACUAUGCGGGCUAGGUGUUGGGGUGGCUACGGGCCACUUCAGUGCCGCAGGAAAGCCAUUAAGCCCGCCGCCUGGGGAGUACGGCCGCAAGGCUGAAACUUAAAGGAAUUGGCGGGGAGCACCACAAGGCGUGAAGCUUGCGGUUC
rnacentral:rRNA from 1 species